CAGAGGUGUUUAAGGUGAACAAUCGACAGGCGUGGAUUUGUUUGGCCGUCUUUUGCUGUACACUACAAAGCCAUGAAUUGCUCUUAGUGGUUACGGGAAGUGCAAUAGCCGACGCGUGUGGAUUUAUUUAUGUAGAGCUGAUUGAUUCAGUUUCAAUGGAUGGCAGUUCAAUUAUUCAGAUUGAGGAAGAGCUCAAUGCCUUCUCUUUUGGUUUUUACAUUUGAGCAGCCAAACAUGUGAUAGCGAUCGGCACCCAUUUAAGACUUUCGUUGUAAAGUACAAAGAAACUCGCACUAAAUGCAACCAUCAUAUAGAUACAAUAGAGAAGAAGAGUGUUGCAAGACCGAACAUUAGUUUUUCGGGUAAUGACUCCAAGAGAUCAAGUUCUGCAUAACUAGAUGCGAGCAUAGAUAAGAAUAUGAGGAUCGAGGUUACCCAAAAAAAAAGAAUAUGAGGAUCGAGGCUGAUGAGGAUAUUAAAGACACGGCGUCAGAGAUCACAAAAAUGAGGGAUGGUUCACUGCGGAAAAAAGGAAUCCCGGUGUUCUGGUUGUAUCCAGCUGGGAGCGUAAAAGCCGCUGCAAAUACAAUAUGAGGGUUGCAACUAGCAUAUAGAUUUUAAUCCAACUCUCACCUUUGGUUACUAAAGCUGUAUGUUUCUGGGAGAACAAGUCUUGUGGUGUUUCACCGGCUCCAUUCUUCCUUCGUCUAUAUUGAGGUGGGAUCAUUUGUUCUACCUCCUGUAACAUAUAUUCAGUCAUUUUGAUGGU
rnacentral:lncRNA from 1 species